CCAGACGGUUGGACGGCCGCUGGCGGGAAACCACCAGAGGAAAGUCCGGGCUCCACGGGAAUACGGUGCCGGCUAACGGCCGGCGGGGGCGACCCCAGGGAUAGUGCCACAGAAAGCAAACCGCCACGGCUUGCCGUGGUAAGGGUGAAAGGGUGCGGUAAGAGCGCACCGCCUCGCCGGUAACGGAGAGGGCACGGAAAACCCCACCGGGAGCAAAACCGAAUAGGGGCGGCCGGCGACCUGUGGCAACGCAGGGGCGCGAAGCGAUUUCCGGCUUGCCGCCCGGGUUGGUUGCUUGAGGCGGGUGGCAACAUCCGUCCCAGAGGAAUGGCCGUCUAACGCUCGUUCGCGGGUGUGGACAGAACCCGGCUUAUAGACCGUCUGGGUCU
rnacentral:RNase_P_RNA from 1 species